UACGAAGGGGGCUAGCGUUGUUCGGAAUUACUGGGCGUAAAGCGUGCGCAGGCGGUCCGCUAAGACCGAUGUGAAAUCCCCGGGCUUAACCUGGGAACUGCAUUGGUGACUGGCGGGCUGGAGUAUGGCAGAGGGGGGUAGAAUUCCACGUGUAGCAGUGAAAUGCGUAGAGAUGUGGAGGAAUGCCGAUGGCGAAGGCAGCCCCCUGGGCCAAUACUGACGCUCAUGCACGAAAGCGUGGGGAGCAAACAGG
rnacentral:rRNA from 1 species